rnacentral:lncRNA from 1 species
CGAGCGGGAACCGGGGCUGCGCGCGUUGCUUGCGGGCCAGCUGGAGUUCCGGGUGGGCGUGGGCUUCCACACUGUGGAGGCUUUGUUCUUUCGCUCUUUGCGAUAAAUCUUGCUACUGCUCACUCUUUGGGUCCACGCUGCUUUUAUGAGCUGUAACACUCACCGCGAAGGUCUGCAGCUUCACUCCUGAAGCCAGUGAGACCACGAGCCCACCAGGAGGAAGGAACAACUCCAGACGCGCCACCUUAAGAGCUGUAACACUCACCGGGAAGGUCUGUAGCUUCACUCCUGAGCCAGCGAGACCACGAACCCACCAGAAGGGAGAAACUCCGAACACAUUCGAACAUCAGAAGGACCAAACUCCAGACGCGCCACCUUAAGAGCUGUAACACUCACUGCGAGGGUCCGCGGCUUCAUUCUUGAAGUCAGUGAGACCAAGAACCCACCAAUUCCGGACACAGUGGCUGGGAUUACAGGCACGUGCCACCAUGCCUGGCUAGUUUUUGUAUUUUUUGUAGAGACGGGAUUUUGCCAUGUUGCCCAGGCUGGUCUCGAACUCCUGGAGUCAAGUGAUCUGCCUGCCUCAGCCUUCCAAAGUGCUGGGAUUACAGGAAUUUAUUCUCAUUUUACAGAUGAGGAAACUGCAGCACAGAAAGUCUGUUACUUGACCAAAGUUACAUAGGUGAUAAGUGAUAGAAUGGGGAUUUGAACGUAGGCAAUUCUGUCUCAGCCCCAGCUUGUUCUCCCAUUCUAAAGAUCACAUCUUUGACUCAUUUUGUCUGCCUGAUUGCUUAUGGUGAUGCUUGGGGCCACAGGUCCUCACUGCAGACCUCCCAGGGGCAGGAGCCCUGCCCCUGAGCCCUAGACCAGGAGCCUUCCCCCUUCCUCCAAUUUUCAGCCUCUCUGCCCUGGACUCCUCCUUGGGCUGCCACCUAAUGCCAGUCUCCAAACAUUCCAGAUGCUAUCUCUCUGGCGCCCAGACUCUGUGCUGUUCUUCUGAGCUUGGCACUUGAAACUGCUCUGUCCACACUGCUCUGCCUCCAGCUCCUGAUAUGCCUAUUAGUAAGCAACCCAUUUCCAGAAAGUGGCUGGCUCAAACUUUUGACACCCAGGAGAUCAUCCAAACCGCCUUAAUUUCUUCCUUCUGCUGUGUAAAGAAGAGGCUUACUCUGGCACUGGCUCUUGAAAGCCACUCGUGUGCAUCUCUUCCCAGCUUGUUCAGAUGUUGGUAACUUAAAGAUAGCCAUGGUGGAGGUAUUUGUAUCCUGGAAAUUGGCAAAGGCUACAAAUCAAGGUUUCCUUGGGCCAGCAAGCUAACCCUAACCCAAAACCCUAAUCUUCAUGGGCAUGACCAGCCCUAAUAGUCAG